rnacentral:rRNA from 1 species
CGAGGCGAACCGGGGAAACUGAAACAUCUCAGUACCCCGAGGAAAAGAAAUCAACCCAGAUUCCCUCAGUAGCGGCGAGCGAACAGGGAGCAGCCCAGAGUCAACAUCAAUAUUUACCGCAGGAGAAAGAUCUGGAAAGGCCGGCAAUAAAGGGUGAUAGCCCCGUAUCUGAAACGGUAAGUGUUGUGAACUCGAAGAGUAAGGCGGGACACGUGUUAUCCUGUCUGAAUAUGGGGGGACCAUCCUCCAAGGCUAAAUACUCCUGACUGACCGAUAGUGAACCAGUACCGUGAGGGAAAGGCGAAAAGAACCCCGGCGAGGGGAGUGAAAUAGAACCUGAAACCGUGUACGUACAAGCAGUAGGAGCACCCGAAAAGGUGUGACUGCGUACCUUUUGUAUAAUGGGUCAGCGACUUAUAUUCUGUAGCAAGGUUAACCGCAUAGGGGAGCCGUAGGGAAACCGAGUCUUAACUGGGCGUUAAGUUGCAGGGUAUAGACCCGAAACCCGGUGAUCUAGCCAUGGGCAGGUUGAAG